GCAAUUUAUUAGCUUUACUUCUUUUUUUCUCUUGACUGCAUUCUUUUCUUUCUCAUAAUUGACAUGUUUUUCCUUUUACUCUUUUCAGGUCAGAAAGAUGGGUGCUAGAGGCUCCCAUCUGACUUCUUCCCAUCAGUGUGACCACCAAGGCAAGGGACAGGCUCUCUUACUGGCUCAACCAGAGAAGUCUUGACACAGACGCUGACCAAGAAAACAAGUAUUAAUCUUUCUCCUAUCUGCAAUUGCCUCCAUGAUGCUCCAGCAUGCUGCUUACCUAGUUGGUUGCAGCUACAGUACAUUUUCCAGUAACUCUUGCAGUUACAUGGGCUGAGUCCUGGCCAACAAAGAAGUGGCCAGAAAUGAUAGAUGUCUCUUCAAACCCUGACCUCUUAA
rnacentral:lncRNA from 1 species